CCUACGGGAGGCAGCAGUAGGGAAUCUUCCGCAAUGGACGAAAGUCUGACGGAGCAACGCCGCGUGAACGAUGAAGGUUUUCGGAUCGUAAAGUUCUGUUGUUAGGGAAGAACAAGUACCGAACGAAUAGGUCGGUACCUUGACGGUACCUAACGAGGAAGCCCCGGCUAACUACGUGCCAGCAGCCGCGGUAAUACGUAGGGGGCGAGCGUUGUCCGGAAUUAUUGGGCGUAAAGCGCGCGCAGGCGGUUUCUUAAGUCUGAUGUGAAAGCCCACGGCUUAACCGUGGAGGGUCAUUGGAAACUGGGGAACUUGAGUACAGAAGAGGAGAGCGGAAUUCCACGUGUAGCGGUGAAAUGCGUAGAUAUGUGGAGGAACACCAGUGGCGAGGGCGGCUCUCUGGUCUGUAACUGACGCUGAGGCGCGAAAGCGUGGGGAGCGAACAGGAUUAGAUACCCUGGUAGUCCACGCCGUAAACGAUGAGUGCUAGGUGUUAGGGGGUUUCCGCCCCUUAGUGCUGAAGUUAACGCAUUAAGCACUCCGCCUGGGGAGUACGGCCGCAAGGCUGAAACUCAAAAGAAUUGACGGGGGCCCGCACAAGCGGUGGAGCAUGUGGUUUAAUUCGAAGCAACGCGAAGAACCUUAC
rnacentral:rRNA from 1 species